rnacentral:rRNA from 1 species
UACGUAGGCAGCAAGCGUUGUUCGGAGUUACUGGGCGUAAAGAGUGUGUAGGCGGUCGUCCAAGUUUGGUGUGAAAUCUCCCGGCUUAACUGGGAGGGUGCGCCGAAAACUGGAUAACUGGAGUAUGGGAGAGGAAAGCGGAAUUCCUGGUGUAGCGGUGAAAUGCGUAGAUAUCCGGAGGAACACCGGUGGCGAAGGCGGCUACCUGGACCGACACUGACGCUGAGGCGCGAAAGCCAGGGGAGCAAACGGG